ACGGAGGGUGCAAGCGUUAUCCGGAUUCACUGGGUUUAAAGGGUGCGUAGGCGGACAGGUAAGUCAGUGGUGAAAUCUCCGAGCUUAACUCGGAAACUGCCGUUGAUACUAUUUGUCUUGAAUAUUGUGGAGGUAAGCGGAAUAUGUCAUGUAGCGGUGAAAUGCUUAGAUAUGACAUAGAACACCAAUUGCGAAGGCAGCUUACUACACAAUGAUUGACGCUGAGGCACGAAAGCGUGGGGAUCAAACAGGA
rnacentral:rRNA from 1 species